AUCCUUUACAUAAAUUCAUUGAUUACAAAAAAAAAAAUGUGGUAUGAUUGCCAAUGAGACAGCUCUCCAUAAGAGACCAAAAUGACACCGAAAAUUAACAACUAUAGGUCACCUUACCGCCUUCAACAAUGAGCAAAGUCAAUACCCAUAGUCAGAUAUAAAAGGCCACGAAAUGACAAUGUAAAACAAUUCAAAUGAGAAAACUAACGGCCUUAUGUGUGUACAAAAAAACAAAUAUAUAACACAUAAACAAACGACAACCACAGAAUUACAGGCUCCUGCCUUGAAUGUUCAUAAUAUACUAAAUGUAUGUUCAUAAUGAAAUAAAUAGAAAACCAAAAAUUGGGAAUUUUGGAAAUAGGAGGAGGGAUACAAAAAACUUUUUCCUGUCCCCAAGUACCUAUGACUUUUGAUACUUUUCCUAAAAUUCUCAAGUCAUUAAAUAUUUUACAAAAUUCUUCCUACAACACUUUACAUACUUUCAACCACGCUCUGAAUGCCCA
rnacentral:lncRNA from 1 species